rnacentral:rRNA from 1 species
UACAGAGGGUGCAAGCGUUGUUCGGAAUUACUGGGCGUAAAGCGCGUGUAGGCUGCGACGUAAGUCAGGUGUGAAAGCCCUCAGCUUAACUGAGGAAGUGCACUUGAUACUGCGUUGCUAGAGUGUCGGAGGGGGUGGCGGAAUUCCCGGUGUAGAGGUGAAAUUCGUAGAUAUCGGGAGGAACACCUGUGGCGAAGGCGGCCACCUGGACGACAACUGACGCUGAGACGCGAAAGCGUGGGUAGCAAACAGG